rnacentral:rRNA from 1 species
UGCGUAGGGGGCGAGCGUUGUCCGGAAUCAUUGGGCGUAAAGCGCGUGUAGGCGGCCCGGUAAGUCCGCUGUGAAAGUCCAGGGCUCAACCCUGGGAUGCCGGUGGAUACUGUCGGGCUCGAGUCCGGAAGAGGCGAGUGGAAUUCCUGGUGUAGCGGUGAAAUGCGCAGAUAUCAGGAGGAACACCAAUAGCGAAGGCAGCUUGCUGGGACGGUACUGACGCUAAGGCGCGAAAGCGUGGGGAGCGAACAGG